rnacentral:rRNA from 1 species
ACGCUCGACACCUACGGGAGGCAGCAGUGAGGAAUAUUGGUCAAUGGACGCAAGUCUGAACCAGCCAUGCCGCGUGCAGGAUGACGGCUCUAUGAGUUGUAAACUGCUUUUGUACGAGGGUAAACGCAGAUACGUGUAUCUGUCUGAAAGUAUCGUACGAAUAAGGAUCGGCUAACUCCGUGCCAGCAGCCGAGGUAAUCUGAGCGGCUGGCAAGGC